AUGUCAGAUCCAGAUGAUGACCAUAGCGAAGCAAAUUUAGCAGAACAAAUCAGAGAUGAUGAUCAUGGUGGACCUAAUUUAACAGAUCAAUUUAAAGAGGUGCAAAGUAAACAUGAACAAGCAAUGGCUGCGUUUUCCUCACUUAUUCAGAGGUCUUAUGUGUAUGUUCCGAGAGAAAGGCACAUAUUACCAUAUUGUGGUGAUAUGGAGAAAGACGGCAGGUCAGUCGAUGAUUUUAUAGAGGGUGUCGAGUGGGUUCUGCGUGCUAGGCAUCAGUCUGACCAAGAUCAGUAUGAUUUUGUUAUGUCUCUGUUAAGGGGCACGGCAUUAGAAGAGGUACGUCGUCGCAGUGCUACUGACGAUGGGGAUGACGAUUUGUUUGGGUACCUCAGGGAGGCGUUUAGGGACAGACGCAGCACACCUCAGCUCUUGCACAGUGUUUACAGUCGAAGACAGCUAGAGGGGGAAAACAUAAGAGACUUCUCUCAUGCACUGUCACAAGCCCUCAGCUUGGUUUUGAAAUGUUCCCCCGAUGCUAUUGCGCACGAAAGGGUGACAUUAAGAGAUCAAUUCGUUGAAGGGGUCCGUGACCCAUCUCUGCAUAGAGAGCAUCGCAAAGUUGUGAGAGACCAUCCUCGGUGCACGAUGAUAGAGGUGCGAGAUGAAGCACAGCUUUGGUUCGUAGAAGAGCCCCCUGCAAGUUCAAGAACUACUAAGUCUCGAUGUAGUAGUAACAUGACCCAAUGUUCAAUUCUCAAGGUGCAAGAGAAAAAAAGUGUCACCUUAGAAGAUGUUCUUGAAGUGGUAGCUGAACAAGGCAAAGCAAUUAGUGAACUGACUCAAGCUGUCAAAAAUAUGGCUGUAAGGGGUGGUUGUACAAGGGUGGAAACCUUUAGGCCAAAAUUCACUGAGGAUGGACAACCAAUAUGUUUCAGAUUCCAAGUCGCUGGACAUGUGGCAAAGAAUUGCCCACAGAAGCAGAGCUCUAGAGCUGUGAGACCUGCAUCUUCUGGCCCGCAGGGAAACGAGAACCCCCAGUUGUUGUGA
ensembl:lncRNA